GAUGGAGGAGGGAACGAAGGAUGGAUUGAAAGAGGGAGGUGGAGAAGAGGUACCUAAUCAGCAAGCUUCCUCCCUCCUGACCACACAGUAGUCCCUGUAAAGACAUCCAAAGGCUUGGCUCUGGAUCCAGCUUCUGUGUGACUCCUGAAGACAGGAGUGAGGCACCAGCUUGACAGAGGUCAAGUACCUAGGAACAGCAGCAGCAAGCAGGAGGCAGAGCCUUCUGAGAUUGUUCUGUAUGACAAGCCACAUUUAAAUUCGAGAAGUCUUUAUAAACAGAAAGAUGGAGAUGGAGAUGGAGAGAAGGGGAGGUGGAGGUGGAGAGGGCUUAGCGACUGAUGGCGCUUUGUAAUCUUCCUGAGAGCAAGCCAGCAGCCUCCUGGUAUGCCAAGCGGGAGGCCUGGCUGCACAGCUCUGUUUCCCCCUUGCUUUUGGCAGAUUCUUCGGCUGCCGUAGAUUGAAGAAAAUAGGAAUAAGCAUCUUUCGACCACAAACAGAUGUGCUUGAUAAAGAAAAUGUCAGCAAAAAUACUGAAGCAAUGUGUCACAGCGGCUUUCUGACAGAUAGCAGGAAAAGGUAAGGGAUGUUCUAUCAUGUCCGACAAGGUGUUCUUUUUGAGAUUUAAAGAUCACUGUGCAACUUUAAACAUGUUUGUCACUUUGCCUCUGACUGCAGCUAUCUGGGGCUUCACACGAACUUUAUCAGCUAGGCAUAGGGGGAAAGAAAGCAGCCGGCUCCCAUUUAUCUCAGCUCGGUUCCCUUCAAAGCCAACAAAUAAAUUACAGUGUACAUUUGAUACAAAUUGAUUUCUUAACUCAAAUAACAAUGUUGUCCUCCCGGUCGGGCCAUGUGUCACUCACUCGUGAGACUGAGUGAAAGGCCCAAUCCGUCUGGGUGACAGAAAUAGGCCCAGCGCUCCUCACCAAGGAAUGCUAAUCACCAGGGCUGGCCUGGCCUUUGUGGGCCAGCUGUGAUAAGGGGAAUCAGGCCGUCCUGUCACCAUGCGACCGGCCUUCACUGCGAUCCAGCAGCUGUACCGGCCUGCAGCUGCCAUCCUAUUUCAUGUGGGAAAAUAAGAUCUAGCCACUGUGCCUAAGAUGCCCAUGGCUGGGACAGUUAUGUGAGCUGAAGUGAAAGGAGACCAUUGAAUAUCCUCAGCUGAUCUUAUCUGUCCCAGGAGAAAUGAGAUAUUGGCAGAGGCUGUUGAGUUGCUCACAGCUGAGCAGGUUAAUAAGGUGUGGAGCAAGGCCACAGGCUAAUUGGAUUUGCCCAGCCUUCAUAAACAGCAGAAGCCCUCAGCCAGGAAAGCACACCCAGGCUUGCUCUUUGUUUAGAUUGAACCCAGGAGAGGUGAGUGUCACUAGACUUGGAAACAGAAGGAUCCUCCUCAGACACCAUGCAUGGCCCAUCCCCAGACUCCAAUCAAACUAGAAUGGCACUUAUAGCUCAAUCGUAAUGGGGCAAAACUCAGCACUGUACCCCGAAGCACUAAGUUGCAGUGGAGAGGGACAUAGGGACUUUGAGACUCCUCAACUGACCUGGCCAUGUUAGGUACAGUAUCUGAACUGGUAGCUUCCUCUCUCCUUCCAAUCAUGCUGCUUCCUGCUGUGCACACCUGCCCCAAAUGACAGAAGAUAUGGGGAACAUUCAGGUGGGCUUGUAGAUAUUCACCUUCAGAAUGACUCCCAAUGCUGGAGUUGUGAACUUGCAUUUAAAUGCAAGGAGGUUAUAGUGUCACAAGCAGUGGUAUGGACCCCAGAACUUUUUAUUCAGGGUGUAUUAUUUUGUUUGUUUUAAUAUACUAGAAUUGGAAGAUGAAUUAUAACUGUUUUAUAGUAAUAUCUUUAUUAAUUUGCAUGUCAGUAUUUAUAUAUGGAAAUAUAUAUCUUUUAAGUUCUAUAACAUAUAUAUAUAUGUAUAUAUAUAUGUAUAUAUAUAUAUAUACUUUAUGUUCUAUAACCUUUUCAAUGUGUUUGUAAAAAUAUUUUGACAAUUUCUAGUCACUAACCAUUAAUACUAUCCAUUAAAAGCCUUAGGGGCAGAUAUAAUCUGACCCUUAACAGCAUCCAAUUCCACUAAGGGUCAAUGUGACAAAUGUACGAUUUUUAAAAUCUCCUUUUUUUUGUUUUGUUUUUGUUUUUUGGGGGGGUUUUUUUGACAGAGUUUCUCUGUGUAGUCCUGGCUGUCCUAGAACUCACUCUGUAGACCAGGCUGGCCUCGAACUCAGAAAUCCAUCUGCCUCUGCCUCCCAACUGCUGGGAUUAAAGGUGUGUGCCACCACUGCCCAACUAAACUCUCCUUAGCUAAACACCUUGAAAAUUCCCUGAAUUGUGAAUGUAGAACUCUAUUAGUCAGUUAGACAAAAUAGUCAUGUAAGGCUGUCUAUAGAUAUUCCAGAUAACUAUUUUUAUAAUAAAAGCUUAUCCAAUGUCUAUUUUUCCUGAUCAGCAACAUCUAUAAAACAUUUAUCCACAAUUGCAAUAUAAGUAUUAGAGUAAAUGUUUAGAAGGGAAUGGG
rnacentral:lncRNA from 1 species